rnacentral:rRNA from 1 species
GAUGAACGCUAGCGGCAGGCUUAACACAUGCAAGUCGAGGGGUAACAGGGUGCUUGCACCGCUGACGACCGGCGCACGGGUGCGUAACGCGUAUAGAACCUACCUUUUACAGGAGAAUACCCCAGAGAAAUUUGGAAUAAUGCUCCAUAGUAUUAUUGAAUGGCAUCAUUUGAUAAUUAAACAUUUAUGGGUAAAAGAUGGCUAUGCGUUCUAUUAGCUAGAUGGUAAGGUAACGGCUUACCAUGGCAACGAUAGAUAGGGGUCCUGAGAGGGAGAUCCCCCACACUGGUACUGAGACACGGACCAGACUCCUACGGGAGGCAGCAGUGAGGAAUAUUGGACAAUGGAGGCAACUCUGAUCCAGCCAUGCCGCGUGCAGGAAGACGGUCCUAUGGAUUGUAAACUGCUUUUAUACAGGAAGAAACACUCCCUCGUGAGGGAGCUUGACGGUACUGUAUGAAUAAGCACCGGCUAACUCCGUGCCAGCAGCCGCGUUUAUACGGAGGGUGCAAGCGUUAUCCGGAAUCAUUGGGUUUAAAGGGUCCGUAGGCGGGCUAAUAAGUCAGGGGUGAAAUCCAACAGCUUAACUGUUGAAUUGCCUUUGAUACUGUUAGUCUUGAGUUAUAUGGAAGUAGAUAGAAUGUGUAGUGUAGCGGUGAAAUGCUUAGAGAUUACACAGAAUACCGAUUGCGAAGGCAGUCUACUACGUAUAUACUGACG